rnacentral:rRNA from 1 species
UCCGGAUGGUGCAAGCGUUACUCGGAAUUACUGGGCGUAAAGCGUGCGUAGGUCGUUCGUUAACUCUGAUGUGAAAGCCCUGGGCUCAACCUGGCAACUGCAUUGGAUACUGGCGAUCUGGAGUGCGGUAGAGGGUGGCGGAAUUCCCGGUGUAGCAGUGAAAUGCGUAGAUAUCGGGAGGAACAUCCGUGGCGAAGGCGGCCACCUGGACCAGCACUGACACUGAGGCACGAAAGCGUGGGGAGCAAACAGG